AAGAGGAUUGUGAUAACUGGCAGACCACAGAGAUUGAUCACGAUAAGGCUCUGGCCCAGGCCAUCAAGGAGGCGAAGGAGCAGCAACCCGACAUGUCUUGACCAAAGUGGUGGUGCACCAG